rnacentral:rRNA from 1 species
AACGAACGCUGGCGGCAGGCUUAACACAUGCAAGUCGAGCGCCCCGCAAGGGGAGCGGCAGCCGGGUGAGUAACGCGUGGGAAUCUACCCAUCUCUACGGAAUAAAGCAUGGAAACGUGUGCUAAUACCGUCUACGUCCUUUGGGAGACAGAAGUAUUGGGGAUGGAUGAGCCCGCGUUGGAUUUGCUAGCUGGUGGGGUAAAGGCCUACCAAGGCGACGAUCCAUAGCUGGUCUGAGAGGUUGAUCAGUCACACUGGAACUGAGACACGGCCGAGACUACGGCGGUAGGGAGCAGUGGGGAGUAUUGGACAUUGGGGCCAAGCUUGUUCCAGCAAUGCCGCGUAAGUGAUGAAGGCCCUAGGUUUGUAAAGCUCUUUCACCGGUGAAGAUAAUGACGGUAACCGGGGAAGAAGCCCCGGCUAACUGCGUGCCAGCAGCCGCCGUAACAC